rnacentral:rRNA from 1 species
GACGAACGCUGGCGGCGUGCCUAAUACAUGCAAGUCGAGCGAAGUUUUUCUGGUGCUUGCACUAGAAAAACUUAGCGGCGAACGGGUGAGUAACACGUAAAGAACCUGCCUCAUAGACUGGGACAACUAUUGGAAACGAUAGCUAAUACCGGAUAAUAGCAUUAACUGCAUGGUUGAUGUUUAAAAGUUGGUUUUGCUAACACUAUGAGAUGGCUUUGCGGUGCAUUAGCUAGUUGGUGGGGUAAAGGCCUACCAAGGCGACGAUGCAUAGCCGACCUGAGAGGGUGAUCGGCCACACUGGGACUGAGACACGGCCCAGACUCCUACGGGAGGCAGCAGUAGGGAAUCUUCCGCAAUGGGCGAAAGCCUGACGGAGCAACGCCGCGUGAGUGAAGAAGGAUUUCGGUUCGUAAAGCUCUGUUGUUAGGGAAGAAUGAUUGUGUAGUAACUAUA